rnacentral:lncRNA from 1 species
CCCGAGCUCCAGACCCUUCUUCCCAGCGCGGCGCGACGGCCCCAAGUGGAUGGGCUGUCUCUGGUGAACACGUCCAACUCCAGAGGCUGUGACUCUGGGGACCUUCGUGACCCCAAGACAGGGUCACACACCCGUGGCAUUUGGUCGCCAAAUUCCAGACAAGGACCCCCAUUCAACCGACUGGCUCCAAGCUGAGCCUUGGAGAGGUGGCUGGGGACAGGAGGAAAAGACGGAGCCCCCCCACGCAUUGCCAGGAUUUCUCUUUCCGUAUCCCAGCCUCCCUGCUCCCUGGGGCACACAGGUGGAUGGCGGAGGCAGCCAGUGAAGGCACCAACCGAGGGGCAGGUGAGGUCACUGGGGGCGGGGGAUGCGGGGGAGCAAGAAGGAGAAGCAGCUUUGCCUGAGGGGCCACAGCUGGGAGGACAGCCGGGAAGCCUUCUGGGCUGAGGCUUGUGAGAUGGCUGGAAGUUAGCCAGGAGGACAAGCGCUUCCAGGCAGAAGGAACAGCAUCUGCAAAGGCUCAGCGCACGGCGCAACCUGGUGGGACUGGAGUCCCGCUGGUUCUUGAAACCCAGGGGCAUGAACACUAUCCUCUAGGCAUUGGAGAUGCAAAUGGCCUUAAGCAAAGGAGUGAGCCGGUACACGCUACAGAAGGACGCACGUAGCGUGGUCCUCUUAGACGAGGGGCUGUCAUUUAGGGCAGGUGCAGAGGGACCCAGCUAAGCCGAGGGGACAGAGAACAGUGACAGAGCAGGUGACGAAGUGUCCCUGCUGUGGCACGUGUUCCA